CACGGACCUUCUUACUGUCGCCAUAGCUUUGUCUUUCCCAGAAUGUCAUGUGGUUGGAAUCAUACAUACCACAGGAGGUGGUCCAAGCCUGGGGAGGUCUCACUUCUCACCAAGAUGUGCCCAUAGCCUAUCAGAUUGAAAGCAAGAAAAGGUAAAAAAUUCCACAUAUACUUCGGAGAUCAACAUUUUAUCUGUAACAAAAGGAACAUAUACUGAAAGUCAUGAGGAGAAUUCUUAAUAUAUAAAGUUGUACAGGAGAAGAAUUUGCUACCCUAAAAUGUAUAUUUUUGGAUCAAUUAUUUUUAAGAACAAAAGACUCAAGAAGAAAUGUUAACCUUCUCCCCAACUGCCUAAAGGAAUUUAAGAUAGAAGGACUGUCUGUAGAAGAAGCUAUCACCAUAGACAACUCUAGGUGUGGUACACAAGAAGGUGAAGAGGAUAUUUAAGGUGGUGACUUUGGCUAUUUUGCAAGGUGAAAUAAAUAUACUGGUUCAGAAUUUAUCAAUAUGCCUUCGUAGAUGUCUGCUACUCCUAAAUACCAAGUUGAAAAUAAAGAGGAGAAGAAAUCAGAGGUUUUAUCCUUAAGGUGGGAAAGGGGUGAAAUUACGCCUGAGGUGUGAGUAUCGGGAUGGGAGGGAGUAUAACAUAAUAUAGUGAACAUCAUCAGCAGAUAGGGAAAUAAAUGAAGAAGCACAGCUUUGUACAUAGACCUUGUGACAUCUUUUCGGCAAUCUAAACAGAAAAAUUAUUUUCCAACACCCAGCCAUUUUCUCUCGAAAGAAGCACAAGUUCUUUAUUUAUAAGGAAAUCACAUUGGCCCUAUGUCCUAACGCAUGAAAAUGAAAAUGCACAUGCCGUCAAUGUGGCCAUUAAGUAAAGGAUUUUCCCCUAAGUGGAAUGCAUUUUGGUUUUUUUGUUUGUUAUGAAUGAACAAAUAGGCCUUUGUGUACUGAACUGGCACAGCCAGAGAUUACCGCUAAACCUUUUUUUGUGUUUGCAGUACAGCCAUUGUGAAGAAGGAAGCUACAAUUUGUUUGCAUGUCUUUUCCACUUUGAAUUCUUUUUUUUCCUUUUUCAGGUUAUCUUGCCACUCACAAGAACAAUAAUGCCAGAGGAAAAGAUAGCUUGAAUGAGACUGCAUGAUUGCUUUUCCAACUAAAAUGAGUAGAAAAUGAAAACACUUUAAAUGAAGUGUCUCAAAUAAACGUUUAAUUUAGGAGAAGACAGCAGCCGCAUAUAUACCACCAUAUCAAAUAUUGAAAGAGCAUUUAUUGAAGAGUUGAAAGACUCAUUUGUGGGAAAAUAAAUGUAGCUCUAAAAGUGAGCUGCUGAGAGUAAAUAUGUAAAACCACACUUAAGCGGCAUGCAAUUAACGUGAAUUUAUACUAAAAAAAUGAAAAACGCGAUGAGAUUUUGGGGAAUUACAUAUUUGAACAAGGAACUGUUUCGUUUUUCAUCAAACAUGAGCCUAGCUGUGCACUGGCUGCUCUUUAAUGAGAUGUAAUUUCAAACGAACUAGAAAGUUUUAUGUUUAUACACUAAGAAAAGUAGGUACAUUAUUUUCUCAAUUCCUUUCAUGUCUUUCUUUAAAUAUCCCUUCCUUAUCUCCUCUAUGUGCUUCAAUAUCUGUCUUUCCAGGCCUAAUGAAUUUCUUCUUCCUUAUUCUCUCCUUUCUUCUUAAUAAUUCUUGCUUUUUAUUGGUUCCCUCACUAAGUUCUCAUAUUUUCUGGCAUUGAUAUUCUUCUUCAUUCUUUAUCCAUUAUUUUAUAUCAAUCUCACCUCAUUCAAUCCCCAUAUUUAUUUCUAGCCACAUAAUUUACUUUUGCCAUAAUCCAUAAUAUCCGGGCAUUAUACCAAUUGUGAAGUUACUAAAAACUAUGACCCUAACAGAGAGAAGGAAAAUUUUAUAUUUUUAACACAUACAGAAAUGGUAUUGUCAUUAGAGUGCUUUGUAAAUCAUAAAGCAUUUAAGAAAAUUAUAUAACAACUUGCUUUUAUUAGAAGUAUUAUUGGAAAUGCUGAUCUCAUAUCACACGUGACUAGAAUAACCUUCUAAUAGUUAUACUAUGUACCUAUCUAUAUUAUAUAACUAUAUAUAAUAUAUAACUGUAUGUAAAAUGAUUUCAGUCACAUAUGUAUAAGCCAAUCAAUUUAAAAUAUAGUUCCUCCCAAACGAAAUAGCAAAAGCACAGGUAAAUGAUAAGGAUGUCAAAAUGUCAAGCAAUUUCUCCUUCUCUUAAUAGUGCCAUUUUUAUCAAAUAAGGAGGUGGUUUUCCAUAGAUGAGUUUACAGAACAAGAACGGAAGCUGUCCUGACUGCUUCUAGAGCCAAAAGGCAUUAGUAUAGAAGUUCCAAAUGCUUUGUAUCUACUGCCAAAUAUUUUCUUGGCCAAUGUUAAUUAUACUACUUCCUGCUGUUUCAGCAUUCAGAAGAUCAAUUAAAGUUGAAGAAAUGAAAUGAAAAAUAAUAAAAUGGAUUUAGUUUUCUGACUUGAUGUUGAAAAGAGAGACCUUCAGUUACUUUUUGCCUAUCUUACACAGAAUCCUGUCAGAAUACGACUUAUUUUAUUCUUAGAUAUUUCUAGGUAAAUUUUGAUAUUUUGCAUCUAUGUGAUUAAAUUUCUUAAGUCUUUCAAAUUUUCUUUAGAUUCGUGGUCUAUUUUUCCAGUAAUUUGCAAUGGAAUACAAAUUACCCAUUAAAAUAAUUUUUUAUUCCUUAUGAUAAAAUAUAAAUUAAAUUCUAAUUAUGAAGCCUAGAUCAAAAGCCUAUUCUGUCACCUCACUCACUGAUUUAUUCUUCAUUCUUCCCAAACUUUAAUCAUCUCUAUAUUAAGCAAUAAAUAUAUAAACAAAUCUGAUAGACUGAAGGACAUAUUACUGGUAAUCAGAUUAUCACAGUACCAGACAUUGAAUUUCACCCCAUUUAAAACCAUUACGUGACCUUUCUACUCUAAUUACUUAACUUUGCCCAGCUGAAGUUUGUUACUGAAUUGGAGCAAAUUUCAUCUCAUUUAAAUUUAUUAAAAAUCACCUAGUUUAUUUAAAAUCCCUGUUAGCAGACAGAACAUCCUUUUCCACAUUAUAAAUGUUUGAGAAUCUGUGUUGAAUCUCCUUUUAUGUUUCUUUGUAUUUUAUUUGGACUUGUUUUAAGAGCACACUUAAACAUGUAACCAUGUCCAUUUAAAAGGUCACAUUUUCUUUGAAAGGCAUGUUAGCACACUGAAGAUCCACUCUCGACCACCUUAAUAACAAAACCAAUAUGAUCUUCAACAAAUAAUUACAUUUAAGGGGAAAAUCAACAGACUAUAUUAAGAUGAUGCCAUCUACUUCUAAAAUUUAGUAUAAGUAAAUCUACGUCAGAGAUACUCAUAGUCCUGUGAUCUGAUGAUGUCAGAGUUUUGAGAGAAAAAUAUCAAGGAUAUACUUCAGUAUGUAGGGGAGGAAGAAAUUUCCUCUACCCGCUCUGGGU